UACGGGGGGGGCAAGCGUUGUUCGGAAUUACUGGGCGUAAAGGGCUCGUAGGCGGCCAACUAAGUCGGAUGUGAAAUCCCCAGGCUCAACCUGGGAACUGCAUCCGAUACUGGAUGGCUUGAAUCCGGGAGAGGGAUGCAGAAUUCCAGGUGUAGCGGUGAAAUGCGUAGAGAUCAGGAGGAACACCUGUGGUGUAGACAGCUUACUGGACGAUAACUGACGCUGAGGCACGAAAGCGUGGGUAGCAAACAGG
rnacentral:rRNA from 1 species